rnacentral:rRNA from 1 species
GACAGAGGGUGCGAACGUUGCUCGGAAUACUGGGCGUAAAGCGUGUGCAGGCGGUCCCGUACAUCGGAUGUGAAAGCCCGGGGCUCAACCCCCGGAAGUGCACCCCGAGAUGGCGGGACUGGAGUGGCGGAGAGGAGCGCGGAAUUCCCGGUGUAGAGGUGAAAAUUCGUAGAUAUCGGGGAGGAACACCAGCGGCGCAGGCGGCGCUCUGGACGCACACUGACGCUGAGACACGAAAAGCGUGGGGGAGCAAAACAGG